UCAAAUUCAAAAAUCAAUACCUAUGUCGUCAUCACUAAUGUAUGUAAUGAAAAAACUUCAAAUUACUUAACAAGAAAAAUUUGCAAAGUAAAAUAUAAUGAAGAUUUCAAUUUAAUAACAAAAUAACAUUUUUGUUACAAUGAUAAUAUAAGCUAAGCGGUUGUCAACAUUGAAAUAUUUUUGGUGAUGUUGGACUUGUUUUCAAGUUUGUUCUAUAAUCAUUAAUCAAUAAGCAUAGUUAUACCUAUCAUACCCAGAGUAUGCAAAUUUAUGAGUACAUACAACCAUCAGAAGACUAUUAAUAGUAUCCAGUUCAUCUCAAAUAUAAAACAACAUAAAUCAAAUGUUUGAUUUUAUAAAAAAAAAAAAAAAAUGUAAAUGGUAAAUUAUAG